ACGGCUCAGUAACACGUGGACAACCUACCCUGAAGAGGGGGAUAACCCCGGGAAACUGGGGAUAAUACCCCAUAGGCUAUGGAUGCUGGAAUGCUCUGUAGUUGAAAGGUCCGCCGCUUCAGGAUGGGUCUGCGGCCGAUUAGGUUGUUGUUGGGGUAACGGCCCAACAAGCCUGUAAUCGGUACGGGUUGUGGGAGCAAGAGCCCGGAGAUGGAUUCUGAGACACGAAUCCAGGCCCUACGGGGCGCAGCAGGCGCGAAAACUUUGCAAUGCGAGCAAUCGUGACAAGGGAACUCCGAGUGCCUGUAAAAUCAGGCUGUCCGCCAGUGUAAAUAACUGGUGAAGAAAGGGCCGGGCAAGACCGGUGCCAGCCGCCGCGGUAAUACCGGCGGCUCGAGUGGUGGCCACUAUUACUGGGCUUAAAGCGUUCGUAGCUGGUCUGUUAAGUCUCUGGGGAAAUCUUCCGGCUUAACCGGAAGGCGUCUCAGGGAUACUGGCAGACUAGGGACCGGAAGAGGUGAGAGGUACUCCAGGGGUAGGAGUGAAAUCCUGUAAUCCUUGGGGGACCACCUGUGGCGAAGGCGUCUCACCAGAACGGCUCCGACAGUGAGGAACGAAAGCUGGGGGAGCAAACCGGAUUAGAUACCCGGGUAGUCCCAGCUGUAAACGAUGCGCGUUAGGUGUAUCGGUGACCACGAGUCACCGAGGUGCCGAAGAGAAAUCGUGAAACGUGCCGCCUGGGAAGUACGGUCGCAAGGCUGAAACUUAAAGGAAUUGGCGGGGGAGCAC
rnacentral:rRNA from 1 species